rnacentral:lncRNA from 1 species
GGCAUCACAGGCCUGAGCCACAUCCUCUGCAUGUAUAUUAUGUCUUCCAGUUUAGUGUGUUUGGGGGAUUUACGAAUGAAUGGGUUUCUGAACCUUAUGCCUUUAGGUGGGCUUUUUUCUUAUGUCUGCUUGUUUUGUGUUCAAUGUGUUAGUUUUUGUUUUACCUUAUUAUAUUUUAUAUCAUAAAGAUUAAAUUUCUCAAAAUUGUCAAUAUUUAAAAUGAAAGAAGGAAGGGAGAAAAGAAAGAGGAGAGAGGGAGGAAGGAAGGAAAGGAAGGAAGGAAGGAAGGAAGGAAGGAAGGAAGGAAGGAAGGAAAGAAGGAAGG